UCUUGAGAGCGGCGGACGGGUGAGUAAUGCCUAGGAAUCUGCCUGGUAGUGGGGGAUAACGCUCGGAAACGGACGCUAAUACCGCAUACGUCCUACGGGAGAAAGCAGGGGACCUUCGGGCCUUGCGCUAUCAGAUGAGCCUAGGUCGGAUUAGCUAGUUGGUGAGGUAAUGGCUCACCAAGGCGACGAUCCGUAACUGGUCUGAGAGGAUGAUCAGUCACACUGGAACUGAGACACGGUCCAGACUCCUACGGGAGGCAGCAGUGGGGAAUAUUGGACAAUGGGCGAAAGCCUGAUCCAGCCAUGCCGCGUGUGUGAAGAAGGUCUUCGGAUUGUAAAGCACUUUAAGUUGGGAGGAAGGGUUGUAGAUUAAUACUCUGCAAUUUUGACGUUACCGACAGAAUAAGCACCGGCUAACUCUGUGCCAGCAGCCGCGGUAAUACAGAGGGUGCAAGCGUUAAUCGGAAUUACUGGGCGUAAAGCGCGCGUAGGUGGUUCGUUAAGUUGGAUGUGAAAGCCCCGGGCUCAACCUGGGAACUGCAUUCAAAACUGUCGAGCUAGAGUAUGGUAGAGGGUGGU
rnacentral:rRNA from 1 species